rnacentral:rRNA from 1 species
GGACGAACGCUGGCGGCGUGCCUAAUACAUGCAAGUCGAGCGAUCUGGAGGUUGGAGAUUAGAGGUUAGAAGUUAGACGAAACCAAUCGGCGAAGCCGAUUGGAUGAAUCUGAUUUCCAACUUCCAAUCUCCAACUUCCAGGGAGCGGCGGAYGGGUGAGUAACACGUGGGCAACCUGCCCGCAAGAYCGGGAUAACUCCGGGAAACCGGGGCUAAUACCGGAUGAUGCMUCUYYCUGCAUGGGAGGAUGCUGAAAGGCGGCCUUUGGCUGUCACUUGCGGAUGGGCCCGCGGCGCAUUAGCUGGUUGGUGAGGUAACGGCUCACCAAGGCGACGAUGCGUAGCCGACCUGAGAGGGUGAYCGGCCACACUGGGACUGAGACACGGCCCAGACUCCUACGGGAGGCAGCAGUAGGGAAUUUUCCGCAAUGGGCGCAAGCCUGACGGAGCAACGCCGCGUGAGUGAGGACGGCUUUCGGGUUGUAAAACUCUGUUCUUCGGGAAGAACGGUCGAAGGGUGAACAAUCCUUUGRCRUGACGGUACCGGAGGAGAAAGCCCCGGCUAACUACGU